rnacentral:tRNA from 1 species
CCCAACGUGGGCUCAGUCGGUAGAGCAUGAGACUCUUAAUCUCAGGGUCGUGGGUUCGUGCCCCACGUUGGGC